rnacentral:lncRNA from 1 species
CACUCGUGCUACGCACUCGUGCUUUAAUUAUUACGCAUCCGAACUCCUGCCCAUAUUUUAUUAACUGAUAAAAUAUAGGCACAUAUUUAUUAUUUCUUAAUUAAAAAACUGUCACGUCAGUAAGAGUACUUUACCACUGCACACGGUGCAGAAUUAUCAUUCAUUGUCCUCAAAAUAAGUUACACAUGUAUGCAUUUCAAAACUAUUAGAUGAACUUCAGUCUAGGUUGAGACAAAAGAUUUAUCUCAGUCAAAAGAAAGGACAAAACUUUUUAAAAUGUUUUCAAAAAUAUGUACACAUUCCCAGCAGAAACGCGCAUAAUCUCCAGCCUAUCAGACACCCAAGAUGGCGGACAUAGAUCUAACUAACAGGGAUCCUAAUAAUAUUAAUUCUCAUCUUAAGUGCGCCUUCGAAGAUGUUUUGGCUGAGCCAGAAGAAAGUCACAGCAUGGACUGCGUAUGGAAGCUCUCGUUCACUUGCUUUACCU